rnacentral:rRNA from 1 species
CCUACGGGGGACAGCAGUGAGGAAUAUUCGGCAAUGGGGGGAACCCUGACCGAGCAACGCCGCGUGAAGGAAGAAGGAAUUCGUUCUGUAAACUUCUGUUAUAAAGGAAGAAAGACGGAUGGAGGAAAUGACAUCCGAGUGACGGUACUUUAUGAGAAAGCCACGGCUAACUACGUGCCAGCAGCCGAGGUAAUACGUAGGUGGCGAGCGUUAUCCGGAUUUAUUGGGCGGAAAGAGGGAGCAGGCGGCAGAAAAGGUCAGUGGUAAAAGAGUGAAGCUGAACUUCAGUAAGCCAUAGAAACCGGGCAUCUAGAGUGCAGGAGAGGAUCGUGGAAUGCGAGGUGUAGCGGUGAAAUGCGUAGAUAUAUGGAGGAACACCAGUGGCGAAGGCGACGAUCUGGCCUGCAACUGACGCUCAUGCCCGAAAGCGUGGGGAGCAAAUAGGAUUAGAUACCCUUGUAGUC